UACAGAGGUCUCAAGCGUUUGUUCGGAUUCAUUGGGCGUAAAGGGUGCGUAGGCGGCGCGGUAAGUCGGGUGUGAAAUCUCGGAGCUUAACUCCGAAACUGCAUUCGAUACUGCCGUGCUUGAGGACUGGAGAGGAGACUGGAAUUUACGGUGUAGCGGUGAAAUGCGUAGAUAUCGUAAGGAAGACCAGUGGCGAAGGCGGGUCUCUGGACAGUUCCUGACGCUGAGGCACGAAGGCCCAGGGGGAGCAAACGGGG
rnacentral:rRNA from 1 species